rnacentral:rRNA from 1 species
CCUACGGGGGGCAGCAGUAGGGAAUCUUCCACAAUGGGCGAAAGCCUGAUGGAGUAACGCCGCGUGGGUGAAGAAGGUCUUCGGAUCGUAAAACCCUGUUGUUAGAGAAGAAAGUGCGUGAGAGUAAAUGUUCACGUUUCGACGGUAUCUAACCAGCAAGCCACGGCUAACUACGUGCCAGCAGCCGCGGUAAUACGUAGGUUGCAAGCGUUAUCCGGAUUUAUUGGGCGUAAAGGGAACGCAGGCGGUCUUUUAAGUAUGAUGUGAAAGCCUUCGGCUUAACCGGAGUAGUGCAUUGGAAACGGGGAGACUUGAGUGCAGAAUAGGGGAGGAGAACUCCAUGUGUAGCGGUGAAAUGCGUAGAGAUAUGGAAGAACACCAGUGGCGAAAGCGGCUCUCUGGUCUGUAACUGACGCUGAGGUUCGAAAGCGUGGGUAGCAAACAGGAUUAGAUACCCUUGUAGUC